rnacentral:rRNA from 1 species
CACGUAGGAGGCGAGCGUUGUCCGGAAUCAUUGGGCGUAAAGAGCGCGUAGGCGGCUCGGUAAGUCGGGUGUGAAAUCCCGGGGCUCAACCCCGGGACUGCAUCCGAUACUGCCGAGCUAGAGGUAGGUAGGGGAGAUCGGAAUUCCUGGUGUAGCGGUGAAAUGCGCAGAUAUCAGGAGGAACACCGGUGGCGAAGGCGGAUCUCUGGGCCUUACCUGACGCUGAGGCGCGAAAGCUAGGGGAGCGAACAGG